CCUACGGGGGGCAGCAGUGAGGAAUAUUGGUCAAUGGGCGGGAGCCUGAACCAGCCAAGUCGCGUGAGGGAAGACGGUCCUAUGGAUUGUAAACCUCUUUAGGCGGGGAGCAAUGCCGGGCACGCGUGCCCGGAGGGAGAGUACCCGCAGAAUAAGCCUCGGCUAACUCCGUGCCAGCAGCCGCGGUAAUACGGAGGAUGCGAGCGUUAUCCGGAUUUAUUGGGUUUAAAGGGUGCGUAGGCGGAUUUUUAAGUCAGCGGUAAAAUGUCCGGGCUCAACCCGGGCCGGCCGUUGAAACUGGGGAGCUUGAGUGGGCGAGAAGUAUGCGGAAUGCGUGGUGUAGCGGUGAAAUGCAUAGAUAUCACGCAGAACUCCGAUUGCGAAGGCAGCAUACCGGCGCCCGACUGACGCUGAGGCACGAAAGCGUGGGGAUCGAACAGGAUUAGAUACCCCAGUAGUC
rnacentral:rRNA from 1 species